CAUCAUGGCGCUGCAGUCGCCGCCUGCGCGUGCGCGGUUGGCUGUCCUCCACAAGUCGGGUACUCAGGCUCUAGGCGGCGGGAGGAACUGAAAAGGUUCCCGAGCGUUAAAUGGUCCUCUUGGGCAAGGUAGCAGAGUUGUGGCCGGGGCCCUAGUACUUUCCGUUGCUGUUUCAAUGUCCCCACACUUUUAGUGAUUGUCCGGCUGCCGCCUUUCCGGACCAUGGGCGCUGGGCUCCCGCUGCCGCCAACCUCAUCACCAGUCCCUCAGCCUGGCUCUGCGCCGAGACGGGCAUAUCGGUGGCUGCUCCAUCCGAUUGGCAUCGGGCUGGAUGAAGCCGGGUCCAAUCUCCUGGAUGCAGCCCGCCUCUUGAUCCCUCCCUCCCAGAAACCGGACUGACCGGUUUGGCUGCAGCUAUGGAAGAGAAGGGAGGAGAGUCCCGGAGCUUGUUCAGGGGCCGAGAUUGCAAGCCCCGGACCACAGAGCCUGGGGGCACCGGCGAGCGAAUGGCAGGGCCCGGAACCCUGUCCAAUCCACCUGGCCACAGCCCAGUGACGCCAGCUCCGUCCCGCAACCUCGGUGAGUAGAGAGAAGUCAGGGAGAGUUGGCCGGACUGCUCGGAUUGGAGAGGAGUGAAGCAGAUGGACACAGAACUUGACAAAACUCUAGUAGGAAUCAGAUUGAGCGGAAGGGAAGGGGUCAUCCCAGCCUCUUCACUCUCGAAACUAUAGGGCGCCACAGUCGUACUUUUGUUUUCACCUUUCGCAAAGUCGAAUGUAACAAUUCCAAAAUGUUGAGACACAAGGUAUUGCGAAUACUGGAAAUCUGAAACAAAAGUAAACUGCUAGAAGAAUUCUGCAGGUCAAGCAACUUGUGUGAAGGCAUAUGAAUUUAUGUAUAUGUUCUGUGCGUUGUCUGAAUCUGCAUACCUAUAAUGCUACGGCAAGAAAGGUUUUUUUUAAAUUAUACUUGUACCUCGAUUGUGCCAGAGCAAUCGACUCCACUUCUCUGCAUUGAGUUGCUCACAGCCGGCACUUCUGAACAGUGUCCUAGAUCCCCCACCUCCAUCAUAAUCCCAGAAAAUAGUGAACUAGCUUGUUUUCUCCCUCCACAAAUGUUGCUUGCUCUGAGAAUUCCCAGUUCGGAUAUCCGGAAUUUAUCGAAGUUUGUAAACCUCUGUUGCAGUCACCAAUUUCUCUUCCCGCCAUUGCAGAAUUACACAUUCAAAAGAAAAAAAAACUCUUUAAAUUCCUACUGUCAGUUAGUCUACACAUUCACAAUGUGGUUAGUUCCACACCUUAGUAAUGUUUGCACCUUUUGUCUUCAGAGCAACAUUCCUGAGGUAAUACAAACCUUGGUUGCUUGAGGGGGUUCCCCACCAAAUGCAGCCCCUCAGUGUCCAGUGACUGAGGAACUUAUGCUGCUCUGCUUUUCUGAUAGUUGACCCAGAUCCAGCAGUUCGCCAAUGGAUGGUCGACCAGAUCCACCGGUCUGUGUAAAACUGUGGAGGUGGCACCUUUGGAGCAGCCAGGUUAAGCCCAGCCUGUAGGUUGUAUGGUCACAGAGAAUGGACUGGUGUCAGAGCUGCUGACUGAGUUUGCUGCCCAACCAAACCUCUACAUUAGAGUCAAUUUUUUUCUCUCCAAACAUUCUAAUCAACUUCAUACCUACAUAUUUGGGGGCAAGUUACAGUGGUUAAUUAACCUACCAGCCUUCAUGUAUUUGGGAUGUGGGAGGAAGCUGCAGCACCUGAAACACCACCAUCAGCACCUGAGGUGAGAUUGCAAUCAGGGAUAUGUCCAAUGAACAGAAGGCAAAUACUGACACAGCUCAGUGGUACAGUUUUCCUGGAGCUGAUCACAAUUCCUGUGGGUACGAAGUGGAACCAAGAGAGCAGACAACUGCUUCAAUCUCUCCAGAAUCAGACUUCUUUGUUUCGUUAAAACUUGCUGCAGUUUUAACUUUCAUUUUUGUUGCCGUCACAAUCUUUUUAGUUUGCUCCAAACACAAUGACCCUCUCCUCCUCCACCUUGACUCACCGAAGUUCAGUCAUCAACACUCACUGAAUCAAAAGCUUCGUAAGCUAAGGGUCUUGUUCCCAAGGCAGUCAGAUGGUUUCUGGGCAACACUGGAAAAUAUUUUCAAUCAGCUUCCCACUGACCCUGCUGAAAUCCUCCAAGCUCAGUUAAUUGGUUAUGGUGUAUCAUGGAAUACAAUGCUUUGCCUCUCCAAGACUAUUGCCAGUUUAUUGUUAGUCUGUGAUGGGGAUUUGGGUACAGAUGGAAGGAGUAAAGUGCAAGAUUACAGUCAAGUUCUUUGGUUGCAAACUGGUUCCUCUCCCAGAUCAGGUUCUAAUAUUAUAAUUGCAGAAAUAGUGAAAAAUCUCUCCUGUACUGUUACCCUCAGCCUGCAGCCAGUCACUGAACUAACAGCUGUGCCAAUGUCCCUCGUCUCUGUGUGGUUCAUUAAUGCGGAACCUAAGCAAGAGAUUUCCCCUUCUAAUUUCACGCUGAGAAUGAUGGCCAAUAUUUUACAUUACCUCAACCAAACAGUACCCACUAAUACAGAUAUCCACAACACCCCUGUUGUAACAGUGAAUCCUGAGGACCACUUGGAAAAUGGCUUUCUGUGCUGAGUCCACUCAUCUGGCUGGCUGAUUUCACUUUUGUUUUAUUCGGUAAUUAAACACGGGAAAGGAACUUGCAGUGAUAGCAGUGGCAAGAGUCAAAAUUGUGAACAGAUAUCAGUCAACAAGCAAAUGUGUGAAGGCUAGCACUUUGAGCAGGAAGGAUCUCUAAGCGGAUAGCAUCUGGUGGAGCAUCACUUGUACUCAUGUUGGAUUGUACCCUUGCCAUUUCUCGCAGUUUGACAAAUCUAUCCUUCUUACUGACCUUGAAAAUCUCUGAAUUUGCAGAUAUCUAUGCUGCCUGGAGUUCAUAUUAAGACUUGUGUUGUAUUAUUUGACAAAUUUGCAUUGAAUCUCAGUGAAUACAGGAAGGGUAGUAAAAACACGUUCAAAGAUAAGGAACUAAAUGACACACUGUUAACUUUAUGAUAUCCAAUGUACCAUAUUGCACAACCCUCCUUCACACUACCCUAUCCUUGUUCACUUCUUACAGCUGUAUUCAACAUCUGUUAAGGUGAAAAUUUCCCAUCAACCUUGUGUCAGGAAAUAAGAUGAUGUCAAUCCUAAGAAAAAAUAUAUAUUUUCUGUAAAUAGUGAUUUUUAUAUAAAUCUUAUAUUUUGAUAUGUAUAGAUGUAUUUUUGAGAUUCAUACCAAUAUUGAAUUGUAGUAAACAUUUGUAGAAAAGUUUUUAUUCUGGCAUCAACAAAACACUAUCAGCCUUUCACAAGUGCUCAACUAAUUGACUUCUCCUGUCAGAUCACCUGGUCACAACUUGUUGUUCAUGGCCUCAGCCUCUGUGAGCAGACAGGAGAAUCUCCUCUCCAUUAUUAAAGCUACUUGAAAAAUAACAAUUUCCUUUCUGCUUCUGGUUGUUUUGCAUCUAACUAUUAUGUCCAAAAGUUUUCCAAAGCACAAGGUGUAUUUCCAAGAAUGAUCAUGGUCUG